rnacentral:rRNA from 1 species
UACGGAGGAUCCGAGCGUUAUCCGGAUUUAUUGGGUUUAAAGGGUGCGCAGGCGGACUGGUAAGUCAGGGGUGAAAAUCUACGGCUCAACUGUAGACGUGCCUUUGAUACUGCCGGACUAGAGUUAAGAUGGAGUGGGCGGAAUGUGUUGUGUAGCGGUGAAAUGCUUAGAUAUAACACAGAACACCGAUCGCGAAGGCAGCUCACUAAACUUUGACUGACGCUCAUGCACGAAAGCGUGGGGAUCAAACAGG